GACGUAGGGGGCCAGCGUUGCUCGGAAUUACUGGGCGUAAAGGGUUCGUAGGCGGUGUGGCAAGUCGGAAGUGAAAUCUCCAGGCUCAACUUGGAGGCUGCUCCCGAAACUGCCACGCUAGAGUGCGAGAGAGGCCAGUGGAAUUGCAGGUGUAGCGGUGAAAUGCGUAGAUAUCUGCAGGAACACCCGUGGCGAAGGCGGCUGGCUGGACCGCAACUGACGCUGAGUGAGCGAAAGCCAGGGGAGCAAACGGG
rnacentral:rRNA from 1 species